UACGGAGGGGGCUAGCGUUGUUCGGAAUUACUGGGCGUAAAGCGCACGUAGGCGGCUUUGUAAGUUAGAGGUGAAAGCCCGGGGCUCAACCCCGGAAUUGCCUUUAAGACUGCAUCGCUAGAAUUGUGGAGAGGUAAGUGGAAUUCCGAGUGUAGAGGUGAAAUUCGUAGAUAUUCGGAAGAACACCAGUGGCGAAGGCGACUUACUGGACAAAUAUUGACGCUGAGGUGCGAAAGCGUGGGGAGCAAACAGG
rnacentral:rRNA from 1 species